UGAAAUCUGAAAAAUUGUCGUCGUUAUCGUUGACAUCUCUCUACUCUUCUGUUAGUAACGGAAACGGAAUCCCUCCAUCCUCCACCGCCCUCCCUCUACCAACUUCCCCCCAACUGCUCUGCACAGCAAAGCAAUCACCUUUCGUUUCAUUCUCCCGAGCUUUUUUUCUCGGGAACCAAGCACCCCAUGGCUUCCGAACCGGAGGACGAGAAGAGCUGGGAGGGCCUCCUCAGAAAGAUGCUGCCUGCCGGCGCACCAUUGCCCGACGAAGAGCACCUCGAUUACUCCAUCGCCAUCGAGUACGAAGGUCCCCCGCUGCCCUACGACCUCCCUGAGGUUGAUCCCGUUAACAUCGACUCUCUCAAUCUUCACUCUUCUUCCGUGGCCGCCGGUUCGGUUGAAGCCCCGUCUUCGAUUCCGGUGGCUUCCCCGGUUGGUCAGAAGGUCUCGCGGUUCAAUCGGGCGAGGAACGGCGGCGUUGUGAAGGAGACAAGUAGAACGGUGUCGUUUCCGACUCCGAGGACGCAACCGGAGCUGCGGAACAGCAGGGAAGGAUCGGAAUUUGAAGGAGCGGAGGAAGGUUUCAUCUCUGAGUUGCCGGUUCAAGACUCGAACUUGGAGCAAAAACCGAUCGGCGGCGCCACCGGAGGAAAGAGGGCGGCUGUCGUGACUUUCAAUGAACCAAGAGAUUUGGAGAACGAGGACGACCCCGAAAACGAUAACGACGGCGGUAGGUCGUCGUCGCCGCAAUCGAGCGCCGCCACCGAACAGGUGGGGUCGCCGGUUGCAUGGGCCUCUUCGCCCGGGAGGCGAUCGAGUAAGAGAGGAAUUUGCAGCAGGUGCGGGAAAGGGAACAGAUUGAAGGAGAGAGAAUGGUGUUUGGUGUGCGACGCCAAGUACUGCAGUAAUUGCCUUCUGAAGGCGAUGGGGUCGAUGCCGGAGGGGAGGAAAUGUGUGAGCUGCAUUGGGCAGCCGAUAGACGAGUCGAAAAGGUCGAGCUUGGGCAAGUGUUCGAGGAUUCUGUCGAGGGUUUGCAGCCCUUUGGAGAUUGGGCAGAUAAUGAGGGCCGAGAAGGAGUGCCCCGCCAAUCAGCUCCGGCCGGAGCAGUUGGUUGUGAAUGGGAGGCAGCUGAGGGAAGAAGAACUGGCUGAGAUUUUGGGAUGUGAAUUGCCUCCUCAGAAGUUGAAGCCGGGGAGGUAUUGGUACGAUAAGGAUUCUGGUCUUUGGGGAAAGGAAGGUGAGAAGCCGGGUAGGAUCAUUAGCUCGAAACUCAAUGUUGGGGGUAAGCUUAGGUCCGAUGCUAGCAAUGGGAACACCAAAGUGUUCAUGAAUGGUCGAGAGAUCACAAAGAUUGAGCGUAGGAUGUUGAAGCUGGCCAACGUGCAGUGCCCUCCGGAUACUCAUUUCUGGGUGUAUGAUGACGGCUCUUAUGAGGAGGAAGGUCAAAAUAACAUUAAAGGGAAUAUAUGGGGAAAGGCAUCCACUCGUUUCAUUUGUUCAUUAUUCUCAUUGCCCGUACCAUCUGGUAAUCAAAGUGGGGCAAAAGAAGAUCCUACGACACCUUCAAGCAGGUCAGUCCCCGAAUACUUGGAACAGGGAAGAGUUCAGAAACUUCUGUUAUUUGGCUUGGAGGGAUCUGGAACUAGCACAAUCUUCAAGCAGGCUAAGUUAUUAUAUGGGAACAAGUUCACUUCCGAAGAGCUACAAAACAUCAGACUCAUGAUUCAAAGCAAUAUGUAUAAGUAUCUAAGUAUAUUACUUGAGGGCCGAGAACGUUUUGAAGAGGAGGCAUUGACAGAGAAUAGGAUAUCUUUGUCAGCUGCUCAUGAUUCCCCUUCAGUAGUUGAUGAAAGUGAGCAAUGCAUCUAUGCAAUCAACCAAAGGUUCAAGCACUUUUCUGACUGGUUACUGGAUAUCAUGGCAACCGGAGACUUGGAUGCAUUCUUUCCUGCUGCCACACGUGAGUAUGCUCCUAUUGUGUAUGAAGUGUGGAGAGAUCCUGCCAUCCAGGAAACAUACAAAAGGAGGGAGGAAUUACACUGUUUUCCUGAAGUUGCCAAAUAUUUCUUAGAUAGGGCUAUAGAAAUAUCAAGUAACGAGUAUGAGCCUUCUGAGAAGGACAUUUUAUAUGCUGAGGGUGUUACUCAGAGCAAUGGACUUGCCUCUAUGGAAUUUUCAUUUGAUGACAGAAGUGCCAUGUCUGAGCUAUACAAUGAAACUUAUGAAUACCCCCCUUGCCUUGACUAAGUAUCAACUAAUUCGCAUCAAUUCCAAGGGACUGAGUGAAGGUUUCAAAUGGCUCGAAAUGUUUGAAGACAUGAGGGCAGUGAUAUUUUGUGUUGCGUUGAGUGAUGAUCAAAUGUGGGCCGACGGCAAUGGUCUUCUUCAUAAUAAAAUGCUGGCAAGCAGAGAUUUGUUUGAGAGUUUGGUACGGCACCCUUGUUUCAGAGACACCGCAUUUGUGCUCUUUCUUAACAAAUAUGAUGCCUUUGAAGGCAAGAUAAACCAGGUUCCAUUGUCUGCCUGCGAGUGGCUAAGGGACUUCAGUCCUGUUAAGCCCCAUGGUAAUAAUCAGUCUAUGGCACAGCAAGCAUAUUAUUAUGUGGCGGUGAAAUUCAAAGAGCUCUAUUCAUCCAUAACUGGCGAAAAGUUGUUUGUGGCACAGACCCGAGCUUGGGAGGGUGCCUCAGUUGACGAGGCAUUCAAGUACGUGAGGGAGGUCCUUAAGUGGGAUGAAGAAAAGAAUGACAAUUUCUUUGCAAUAAACGGGGACGACUCAUUUUACAGCACAGAGAUGAGUUCUCCUCCUGUCAGGCAGGAAUAGACCAGGCUACUACUUGGCUCUGCAAGUGAGUACCAUUCGAAGUGAAAGAUUGAAGGCGUGAAAUUGUCGCUGCGGAAACACUGAAACAGCUCCAACGGACAAGCGGGGUUCCUUGCUGCCAUUUGAUUAACUGAUGGAAGAACGAUUAACGAAGACAGUCGGCUGCAUUUCUUUGUUUCUUAGUUCUUUUCCUUCUUCUUUCUCAGGCCGGACUUGUUUUCGACGUUAGGCCGGAUUUGUUUUCAACUUAGGUCGGACUUGUUUUCGUCUUAGGCCGGAUUUGGUUUCAAGGUUGCUUGACAAUCUUGCUGGUUAGGUACAGGACUGAAAAUUGAUUUGUAACAUAAGCUCAUUUUCAAAGGAGUGGUUUUCUUUUCUGUACAGCAUUUCAAAAGUGAAUAAAAAGCAACUUUCUUAUGGUUUUUACA